GACGGAGGGUGCUAGCGUUGUUCGGAAUCACUGGGCGUAAAGGGCGCGUAGGCGGCCUCAGGUGUCGGAUGUGAAAGCCCGGGGCUCAACCCCGGAGGUGCACCCGAAACUCUGGGGCUGGAGGUCGGAAGAGGAGGGUGGAAUACCCAGUGUAGAGGUGAAAUUCGUAGAUAUUGGGUGGAACACCGGUGGCGAAAGCGGCUCUCUGGUCCGGACCUGACGCUGAGGCGCGAAAGCGUGGGGAGCAAACAGG
rnacentral:rRNA from 1 species